UACGUAGGGUGCGAGCGUUGUCCGGAAUUACUGGGCGUAAAGAGCUCGUAGGCGGUUUGUCGCGUCUGCUGUGAAAACUGGAGGCUCAACCUCCAGCCUGCAGUGGGUACGGGCAAACUAGAGUGCGGUAGGGGAGAUUGGAAUUCCCGGUGUAGCGGUGAAAUGCGCAGAUAUCGGGAGGAACACCGGUGGCGAAGGCGGUUCUCUGGGCCUGUACUGACCGCUGAGGAGCGAAAGCGUGGGGAGCGAACAGG
rnacentral:rRNA from 1 species